rnacentral:lncRNA from 1 species
CUCAGUGUGAACACACAGUUAAUGAGCUAUUUACACACUCAUCUCAUAACGAAUGCGUUACUCUCACAGAAGGGCUGGGCCCAGCCUGGUCACACACGUGACCUGGUCCUCCGUGGUGGAGAGCAAGGACCUGGGAGAGGGCGUACUGCUCAGUGCUUCCUGCUGAUGCAGAGAACACGGCUGCCCUGGACAGUGCUCAGCGGCCCUGGGUAAAUGAAAGUCUCGCCCUCUGUUUCCAUAGCGGGAAGUACUGGGAUGGAACAUACUUGCCAGAAAAAGGAAAGUGUGCAUACAGUGUCAUCCAAGUUGAGUUUUCCUUUUAAGAUGAAGAAAAGGGCCCUGACGUUGUCUGGAAAUGCGGCCGUGAGAGAGGGGGUGAGCAUCGCUGCCCGGCUCCCUGCCCCUUUCCAGACGCAGCGCAUCUGAAGGAGGGUGGGGAAUGAAAGCCCAGCGCACCUGCGCUGCCUUCACUCUAUUCUUGCACUACCGGCUGCUGAAUUUUCUGAGGUUCACAUUGCCACAUGUUUGUGUUAAGAUUUGGGACCUAAAAGCCAAGCAGGGAUCCAUGAUUUCCGGGUUCGGCAGAGCCCGCAGGUGUCCCAGCGACGCCACCUGCCACACGCCUGCUGUGGCUCCUUGGCCUGCAUCCUUUGGGCGCGUGAGAUCCUGCUGCUGUGCUUCCUCCGCGGCCGUCCACGCGUCUUCACCUCGGCUUCUCCUUGCGGGAAUUACUGUUCUACACCUCAGCUCCAGGACAAGGCAGCAUCUGGGAAAUCUCUGCCUGCAGCCACCCAGAGGAAAGGCGGGGUGUUCUCUCAAGGUCUUUACACCCUGGGGUUCAGAUCUUCCUUCCAAGCUACGAAGCAAGCAAGCAUGAGGUAGGUCUCUGGAAGGCAGGGCUUCACCUGGAAGUGUCUGGAUUCUGCACAGCGGGGCUGGCAAGCUCGGAUGCAAGGCUAGGGGGCUGUGGCUGUGGGCAGCAGGCUUGCAAUUCCCGCCCCACCCCCGGGUCAUCUUCUGCCUGAUUCCUGACUGCUGCCCUGAGCUUCUCCGCUGAGCUGAAUGCACA